UUUUGGUUUCUAGAUUUUUCUAUUUUCUCUCUCUCGCCUACGUGCGAUUCUUCUUCAUCUCCUUCUCUAUUUUUUUGGUUAAAAAUCUCAUAUUAAUCCUUAGUUUUAGUUUUAACCUUUGUAGAUGGCCUUGCUACAGUAAUUUGAGGCCUUGUUUUAGUCUCUUUGGUUUUUUCAAUUGUGAAAUGGAGUGUUUAAGGUUAAGUGGUUGAAGGAUUGGUUAUGGUUUUGGAGAUCCAUGUGAUUGAUGAACAAAACCUAUGUUUUUUGAGUGGUUGAUUUACACUAUACUCUCUUGGAAGGUUAUUUUUCACUAGAGGAACGGGUUCAAUUCCUGAGCCCCCUAGAUUAGACAAUUUUCGGCUGAACUGGGUCAACAAUCUUGUGUUUUUUACGUUUUAUAGUUUUUUUUUUUAUUUCUUGGGCAUUUUGGUGUUUAUUAAUAAGUGUUUUCAUCAAGAAAAACCCAACACUUUUCUUAUUCUACAAGUAGAAUAUUUGAUUGUCUCUGAUGAAUGAUUUGCUACCAUUCUCUAUGUUUAGGAGUGGUGUGUUUCACCUUUUACGGCUUUAUUGUGCCAUGGUACUCCAGUGUCCAACCUAUUAUUUCUAAAAAUAGUUAUGUUGGAUGAUGUUGUUCUCUUUGAUACCUUAUUCAUCUGUUUGUCCUUCAUAUUAAGGGAGUAUCUGUGGAGUGGGUUAUGAUCUUGCCAAUUAUUACAGAACUAAGGGGUUCCACCUCUGAGUAUUCUUUCAUUUGCAAAUACAUUGUUCUAAUGAAAAAUGAAGAUUGUUCUAAUGAAAAAUGAAGAUACAUGUCCAAUUACUGUCGACUUUGCUUCCUGAACAUAUCUUAUUUUUGACCGAUUUCCUCUUCCAUUCUCUUUGGAUCUUAGCUUACAAAUUUGGGAUAUUGAUUGUUUUCCGGUUGUUAUGACUAUAGUUUGGGAAGAAAAUUCAUCCUAAGUGUGUUGUUUCUCACCUGACGAAUAAUUUCUUGUUUCUUGCUUAGUCGAUGAAUUUAUUGAGGUUUGAUUAUUACAAAUUCCUUCAUUAGUACAAAUUGAGGUUUUUUAUUACAAAAUCCAUAAAUCGUUAGAAAUUUCUAGCUACUCCUUGGUUGCUCAUUUUAGAUCAUGCUAGGUAUGGGAUCACAUAAGUGGAAACCUUAAGAAGGAUCUUCAAUAUCAGGCUCAUGUAAGUUGUGUGUUCUUCUAAUUUUCAUUCUCUUUCCCCGUCUUAGUUAUUUUAAUUUGUUAAACCUAUUCUAUUGUGCUUGCAUGAUAUAACUCUGGAUCUGUGAGGCUUAAAUUACUUAAUAAUAUGGUGUUAUAAUGCAACAAAUUGGAUAAAAAAUAGUUUAUUAAGGAAGUGAUUUUCGAUGUUUUAUCAUCAUUGUAUCAAGAGAAUUGCCAUUCACAGUUAACUAAAUAUAAGUUGGCACUAAAUGGUUGACAUGUAGGGCUUGAAACAAACUGCAAUAUGUUGAAUUCUUAGUUCUAAUGGAUCUUUUUCUUACCUCUCCUUUUUCUUAUUUGUUCAUUACCCCUUUAGAGGGGCUAAGUUAUUUAUUUUUCUUUAAUCAUAUAAAUGGAUGAGAUAAUAGAUACACAUCUUCUUGUCUGUUGCAUUUGUUGUUUUCCAGAUUGGCAAAUUAAUUAUUACUAACAUGUCCACAUGGUUCAUGACUUACAGCAUUAACUAUUUUCAAUUUAAUUCUCAACUCAUAAAAUGUUAGUCUUUUUUGGUCGAUGGUCAUUGUAUUAUGAAUACUUAGUGUCAUUGUUUUGUUCUUCAUGAGUUUACAGUUAAAUGUAUUAUGUUUUUGUAAUGAUUGAAUCAUUUUAUGGUUAGGAAUAUUGGAUACAAUUUCGUGAAAUCACAAUUGUGACUUUCUUGUUUGUGAUGCAGGAAGUUCUGAAUCAACUGAGGUCGAGAUGUCAGAUUGCAUGUUGAGAUACCAUGAGAUGGCGGAUUGGCGCAAAGAUGGAAAGUGAUUGCAACACUUUCCUUAAUUGGGGCAAUUUCGAAACGUUUUUGGUAAUUUGGUCAUAACUUUGGCUACGGUUAUCAGAAUAGCUAUUAUAAUCCCAAUUCGAAAAGCUCUUUUCAGUACACACGUUGUUGUCAAGCCAUACUCAAUGGGCAUUAAUUUCGAGGCCAAAAU
rnacentral:lncRNA from 1 species